CAAACCCACAAACAUGGUCAGGACUGCCCAGGACAUUUGUCUGUGUUCAAAAGUUAAGAAACAAGACCUCAUAUGUGCUUGUAAGUAGUUCCAGCAUUCUGCCACAACUGAAGUUAGCCUUCUUCCAGUGCAAAUGCUACUGGACUGGAAGAAAUCAGACUUAUACAGUGACAUUUCUCCUGCUAGUGGAGGUUGGUAGGAGAUUGGUGAAAGGAGAGCUUCAGUUUAUGGCUGAGGUUUGCCCCCAGCAUGGGACAGUAUCUCCUCUUCCUUGCCUUUUGAGCUUCCAGCAAUGGCAGCUGUCAGUGAGGAUUCUAAUUGUAUGGAGCAGCAAAAUCCUCAGAUGAAUAUGAACCUUUACUUCAAACCUCUUGUGCUGAGGGCGCUUGGCUUACUUCACAUACUGAGCACAUGAAACUACACUAGGCUUAAAAACUGCUUUGAUAAUGGACCCACAAUCCUGCUCUGGCAGCAAAACUGCCAAUAUUGCCCUCAAACAUCAGAAGAAGAUCAUUUCCAUGCUCUCUGUUUUAAUAGCUUUUGGAGAACAAUGGGUGCCCAGCAUGAGACAGCCCUGAAGCACAGCCAGCUGUAUACAAAUCUAGCCAUUGUGCUGCCUCAGCCAGAGGUUUGUUUGCCCUCCUCCCACCCUCUUUGAAAAGGGAUGCUCUCCAAAUUGUGUGCAUGCAUUAUGCUGCUGGGUUCCUGUCUGCCUGGUUCCCAACACCAGCAAGCAGAAAGCCUGAUGUAGGUGGCAUACAAAUGGCUCCAGUUGGCAGGGGAAGAGGUCAGACUCACGGGUUUAACAAUGGCAGAUACCACUGAAAGCCUCUGUCUACAUGGCUAGGAGAAAUGUAGCUGGAUACCUCUCUAAUAAUUAUAGCUCAGUGGCCUGAAAAGGAAGAGAUUAUUUGUUCUUCUUGGGCAGAUGCUGUAGAUAACAUGUCCCUUUUGCUGUACCCAGCUGCUAGUAUUUGUUUUUUUUUCCAGAAGGGAGUACAGGAGCACAGGCUAGCUUCAGGGAGUAAUUGCAGCAGUUACCUCACACUGUCAACAGCAGAGCUCCGGCUCACAGCCAUCAGG